AUGGCAGUGCAAUCUGAAAUCGUGCAGAAGAGAGAAAUGCUAAAAUGAUAUUAUCAGAAUUAAUAAUGGAAGAAGCAUUAAGAGUCUGAGAAUGGCAGCACCACUGGGAAGGGAAUGUGAAGGAGUUCAUGAGGCUAAUAACAGUGAGGAAGACAUAUUCUUAAGUCUGCAAAAGCAAGUAAAAUGGUAUACCACCUCAAGGUGGAACCCAAUCAGCUGAUGUAAACUUUGUUAUCCUUGGCAAGACUUAAGGAGCUCUUCCUUCAGUUAGUCCUGACGAAGGGUCUCGGCCUGAAACGUCGACUGCGCCUCUUCCUAUAGAUGCUGCCUGGCCUGCUGCGUUCACCAGCAACUUUGAUGUAUGUUACAAAAACUUUUAUCUGUUUCUCUGCCUGGUAUGCCUUCACAGCUUGGAAUGGAAGCUCCAAUGCAAGAAGCUGCAGAGAGCUUUGACUCAGCCAACUCCAUCACAGCCACAGCCCUCCUCACUUUCAAGCAUAUCUUCAAGAACUGGUGUCUUAAGAAGUUCCCAUCCAUCACUAAGGGUCUUCACUGUCUAAGGCAUGCCCAUUCCCAUCAGGAUUGACCUGAAAACCCUCACUCAUUUCAGGAACAGCUCCUCCCCUCUGCCAUCAGGUUUCUGCUGCAACAGAUUUCAUGUCAUAAGAAUGCUAACAAACCUGAUUCUGCUCUAUGUACUGUUAAUUGUGUUAAUAAUUUCCAGCACAUUUAUUACUUCAGAUUUUCAGUACCUGCAAUAGCUUGCUUUGUAAUAUUUAAAGUCCGAAGCAGACUAUAUAUUCAGGGAAAAUAAUAUUGGCCUGUGAGGCAAGUUAACUUUGUAAUGUUCUAGCAUGUGCGCAGAACCUGUGCCAUCUAGUGGCCACUAUAACAAAGUUUCAGUCGUGUCAUGCAAAGAUUAGCAGAUCAACAAUAAUGACAGCACAUCUAUUACAGUGAGGUUCUAAAUUAAUUAUAGUUAAGUGAAAAGCCAAGAUCAAUCCUCUUUUAUAAUUAGAUGUAUGAAAACAACCAGGAAUAUCAAUACAAAUUUAACUGAUUUUUACUUUACAACUUCAUAUCAGCCAAUUUUAAAUUGUUA